AAUGAAUUGGUAUGUUUAAAAUGUUAGCAUACCGAAUUAGCCAUUAAUUUAAAACAUUUGUAUGGUGCUAUAGUUAAAACAUGUCUGGUGAAAAGGCAACUGUUUCAAGUGUGGACGAAGAAGCAAUAUGUGAGUCGCAGCAGCUUUUAAAUUGCCAACCAAAUGAAACAUUGAAUGAAACGGAUGAUUCACUCCUUCAAGUUCCAGCCGCUCGUGUCAAGUCAAGGUCACCCAUUGAAAAAUAUAAACCAUCGUUAAAAACUUUGAUUCCAAUAAGGCCCUUUGCAAAUGACGAUCAGGACCACCCCAAUGAUAAUGCUGGUCUUUUUUCAACCAUGACAUUUUCAUGGUUCACAGGACUCAUUUGGAGAGCGUUUCGUAAACCUCCUUCUGCAAAUGAUCUCUGGCAGCUGUCUCAAUACGACCGCACAGAACCAAACUACAUCAGGAUGUUGCGUUUCUGGAACGAGGAAGUAACAACUUAUGGUGUUGAAAAGGCUUCAUUGUUAAGAGUGUUUUUCCGGUUUGUUCGAACACGAAUGCUUAUCACAAUCUUCUGCACCUGCAUUUUUAGCACUGUUGUGUUUGUUAGCAGUGGUAUCAUCUUGCGAAAGCUAAUACAUCACGUAUCCCAUCCAGAAUCUACAUUGCAUGAGGGCUUAGUUCUUGUUGGCAUUCUCGCUGCAACAGAGCUUACAAGGGCUUUCUGUUUGACAGCAGUUUAUGUUAUAAACUAUAGAACAGCAGUCAGAAGCCGUGCUGCCCUUCUCAUGAUGAUUUUUAACAAAGUUUUACGCCUUUCGCAUAUGACUGGCACUGCAUCUGCAGGGGAAUUGGCAAAUAUUUGCUCCAAUGAUGGUGAUAGACUUUUUGAGCUAUGCAGAACUGGUAACAUAGUAAUCAUGGGCCCUGUUUUGUUCAUAAGUGGGACUGCAUAUGUUUGCGUUUUGCUUGGUCCUAUUGGUUUGAUUGGGUCGGCCAUUUUUAUUCUAAUGAUCCCCAUUCAAGCAGUAGUCGUGAAAUUCAUGAAUGCUGUUAGGCAAAAAGCAAUUGCUUUUACUGAUGAAAGAGUGCAGAAAAUCAAUGAAAUUUUGACAUCAAUAAAGCUAAUCAAGAUGUAUUCAUGGGAAGAAUCGUUUGCCAAGAUCAUUGAAGACGUGCGGAAAAAGGAGCUUGCAGCACUAAAAGUGGUCGGAUUAAUGGCCAGUGUGAGUGUAAGCACGGCAUUCCUCACCCCAGUCGUUGCUUCUGUUAUAAUGUUUACCGCUUAUUUGUGCCUCGGUCAUAAUCUUAAUGCAGAAACCGCUUUCACUUCAAUUGCUCUAUUCAAUGUGAUGUCCUAUGGACUAAAGCUGAUGCCAAUAUCUAUAAAAAGCAUUGCAGAUGGAGUGGCGUCUAUUAAACGAAUCCAGAAAAUCCUGUGUUACAUUGAUUUGGUGGAAUAUGUUAACACAGAAACAAAAGAUAAAGAAAAUGCAAUUGAAAUACAAAAUGCUUCACUGUCUUGGGAUGCAAAGUCAAGUAUUGAUUCCAUUAAUAACCAAUCUAAUGAAGAUAUGGAGCAGGAGAAUGACGGUCUUCUUGAGGAUAAAGGAACAAAAUCUUCCAUUACACUGAAGAAUAUUGAACUAACUGUACCUAAAGGGGAAUUAGUUGGUAUUUAUGGCUCGGUAGGAUCUGGUAAGAGUUCCCUAUUAUCUGCAAUUCUUGGGCAGUUAAAGCUUUUGGAGGGUUCAGUUGCUGUUUCCGGAUCAAUUGCUUAUGCAGCUCAAAGUGCAUGGCUAAUGAAUGCAACUGUGAGGGAAAAUAUUGUAUUUGGUUCUUUAUAUGAUGAAGUUUUAUACAAAAAAGUUGUUUUUGCUUGUGGCUUGCUUCCAGAUUUUGACAUUCUGCCUUCAAGAGAUCUGACUGAAGUUGGUGAACGUGGAAUGAAUCUCAGUGGAGGGCAGAAACAAAGGAUUAGCCUUGCAAGAGCUUUGUAUAGUGACCGAGAUGUAUAUUUACUUGAUGACCCUUUGAGUGCUGUAGAUGCACAUGUCGGAAAGCAUAUCUUUUCUGAAGCUGUUUUCUCUUUCCUAAAAUCACGCAACAAAACCAUCAUUUUUGUCACGCACCAAACCCAAUACCUUUUACACUGUGAUAAAGUUUAUGCAAUGAAAGAUGGGACAUUAACGGGAACCUCAGAACAUCAACUGGAUGCGAAUGAUCUUGAGAUGUUGGAAAAAGAAGAGAAUCAAAAGAGCAAAGCCUCACCUGGUAAACAAGCUCAAAGUACAACAGCUAAAUCAAAAGACAUGGACGAAGUGGACACUGUACUGACGUUUUUGUGGGAAAUGUUUUUCUUAAACUUCACUACACUACUGUUUGCUUGUGGCCUCAUAGCUUAUGUAUUUCCUAAGUUCCUCAUUAUCUUAGCCAUAGUUCUGCCCAUUGUUUUUUUGGCAUACUAUAUUUUCAGACCUGCAGCUCGUGAGUUAAAACGCCUUGAUGUUCUCAGUCGAUCUCCAUUUCUUUCCCAUAUUACUGCAACCGUUAAUGGUCUUGAUUCUAUACGAGCAUAUGGUCAGCGCAGUGUGUUUUCAGCUGAGUUCCAGAGACUUUUGGAUGUUAAUGGUGUGCCUUGUUACUUAUUCGCCUGCGCAAAUCGAUGGCUCGCACUUAGAUUGGAUCUUGUUACUGUCAUCAGUGGAAUAGUGACCACUGUAUUGGUAAUCUUGAACAGUGGAGUUAUCUCACCAGCAAGCGCUGGCCUUGCCCUUAGUUCUUCAUUUCUAAUGACUGGAUUAAUUCAGUUCACCAUUAGGCUUUUAACUGAGUGUGAAGCCAGGUUUGUAACCUUUGACAGGAUUAAAUAUUACAUCACAAAAAUACCUCAGGAAAAAUCAGAGGGCAGCAUCAUCCCUAUUGAGAGCUGGCCUGUGUCUGGAGUAAUUGAAUAUUCCAAUGUCAGCAUGAGGUAUAGAGCUGGACUACCUUUUGCACUGAAAGAUAUUUCUUUCCAAAUAAAAGAUAAAGAGAAAAUAGGAGUAGUUGGUCGAACUGGUUCCGGUAAGUCAUCUCUCGCUGUCACUUUGUUCAGACUUGUGGAUAUUUCAGCAGGUACAAUCUCCAUUGACGGUAUUGACACCAAAGCAGUUUCACUUCACGCUCUUCGAUCAAAACUCUCCAUAAUUCCCCAAGACCCAGUUUUGUUCUCUGGCUCAGUAAGGUACAACUUGGACCCAUUUUCCGAAUAUUCUGAUGAAGCUCUGUGGACUGCAUUGGAGAAAACCCGUCUUAAACAGCUCAUUUCCAGCCAAGAAGGACAACUUGAGAGCAUGGUGUUAGAAGGUGGUAGCAACUAUUCUGUCGGUGAACGCCAAUUAGUUUGCCUGGCCCGUGCCCUUCUGAGAAACAGCAAGAUACUAAUACUAGACGAAGCUACAGCUGCUGUUGAUUCGGAUACAGAAAAACUUGUGCAUGAAAUGACGAAUGAAAUGUUCACUGAUUGUACGAUCAUCACCAUUGCUCAUCGCCUCUCAUCAGUUACUUCAUGUGAUCGGGUUAUGGUUCUCGGUGAAGGAGAGAUAUUGGAGUUUGAUACACCAGAUGUUUUAUUAUCAGAUAAACAAUCUCACUUUUCUCGCAUGCUAGCAGUGUUUGAAUCCAAUGCCCUGGUAUCAUAAGUGCGGGUUAAUUUUUCGAUGCAAUUUUGUAAAUAGUGUGUAUAUACUGUGUUAUAAAUUUUGUGCAUUGUGCUAAAAAUUUUCCAUUGAUUAUCACAGACCAAACUUUAUGCUAAACAUUUAAAGUUAUUUUGUUUAAAGAGCAAAUCAAAUUAUUAUUUUUUGUUUAUUUGUUUGUUAGUUUUUGUUUUAUUAUUUAUUAAUCGUUUUUGUUUAUUUACUCGUUUGUGUGUUAGCUAUGUAUUAUAAAACCAAUUAUACACAAAUAUUUCUCUGGUGUCUGAUGUCUUUAUCGUUUUCUUAACUCUGCAUACACAACUCUCGUUGUACCCACUAUUACACAAACACUUCAUAUUCACAACUACUGUAUAUUGCCCAUAUUUAAAUAUUUUAAGGUUCCUAAUACCUCCUCGGUACUUGCCUGUUGUAUAGUUACUGUUGUUCAAUAAAUAUCUAGUAUAAUUACACAGGUUCCUCUUACAAAGUGUUUAACCAUACCCAAUUGUGUGAACUGAUUUAUGCUGUUUUCUGGUUAUCUCACCAAGUGCUUCAAAGAGUUUUGUAUAACACAAGCAAGUUAUGUGUAUAUUGCAUUAAAUAACAUUAUAUAUGUUGUUCAAUAUUGUAUAAAUUCUUACUAUCAUUAAUAAUGUUGUUGUUACUUCUGCAUUGUUUUAUAAUUAACAGACCAGCCAGAAGCUGAAGCCAAUUUAAUUUAAUUUUUGUUACUAACACAUUA